UAUGAGUUCCCCUAGCCUGCCUAUGGUCCCACAGUGGCUAGAAAUGGCGAUAGGUGUAAACCGAGCCCUGGGUAUCCUGCUUCUCCUUUGAGAAAAUGAAAGCUCAGACGGCCCAAUCUGGAAUCUUCCCUUUAUGUCGUCAUACAGGGAAAGGUUACCUCCCCUUUCUCUGCUUUGCCCACCCAUGAGAAAAUGAGCUACUACCGUGCGAGGCGAGCGCAAUAUUUUUUUUACCUUGAGAGACAUCAUGGCUUGCAAACGAGUGAAGCAUGGUAGUUGUUCAGUGUUUGGAUGUACAAAUGAACAUCUAAGUAUUUUUUUAGUUCCUUCAUCCGAGCCUAUGAAGAAACAGUGGGUUAAUUUGAUUUUUUCUGGUAAUGCGCCGACACAACUUACCCAAGUUUUGUAUGUCUGUGCCAAAUAUUUCACCAAUGACUGUUUCCUCAACUUGGGCCAAUACAGAGCUGGCCUUGCUGAACAUCUGAAAAUAAAGUCUGGAUCAGCACCAACUCUGCUUGGCUCAGCUACAAACCUCGGACAAGAAUUUCAAAGAAACUGGAAGCAAUCAGUAAGCAGAAAGACUGCGAGAAACUCAAAAAGUGGAUGAAAAGCAUCAACAACCACAUAUACUGGACUGCAGCUGGCUCAACCUCCGAGCCAGAGAGAAUUGCAAAGUGGACCGCGAUCCUGAACCAUGUUCAAGAUGUCCAUACACUGUGGGGGCCAGAAGGAAGCAUGGCCCCUCACAACCCGGCACAUGUCACCUUCAGCACCAUGGAGAGCACUGGCAAAGGAGGACACAAGGGCAAGGUACCCAGUAAUGUUCAGAACCAGGGAUAGCUCCUCCAACACAGGUGUGCACUGUUUCUCCGCUGAUAGCGAGCCUCAGCUGCAGGCGGUUGGGCCAGUUAGCAGACACAUAAGAGAACAAACAGGCCUCAGAAGAGAGAGAAGCAAGGGAGAUGUAAUUGGCUGCUACGAGGACAACUUGAGGAAGAAGAAUUAUCUGAGUUUGAGUUUUUUCCUAUUCCCUUUUCCCCCCACCUUUUGGAAGAAUAAAGAAAAUUGAGUUUUGCUUGACUGGAAUUCUGCCUGGUGACUUGUGUACUUUGAUCUCCUGAGCUAUUCCCUCCAAGACUUAUGGAGGAAGCUUACAACACAUGAGGAUCCUCUUUACCUCAAGUGCGAGCAUGCGAUCCGCAAGACAACUGUCAAGAGUAAAUGCCUCCAAGCAGAUACUCUAGCUUUCAACAAGUAGAAGAAGUCGCUGACAAACAAAAGAACGCUGAAGGAUGUUGCAAAACUGAGCCCCCACCACCAAACUUCAUCAUGGGAGGCUUUCCAUGCCGUCAUCCUUCGUUUUGCCCCAAAUAAUGUUGUCUUUCCCUUUAUUGGAAUGCUGUGCAGACUCUACCUGGCUGCUAUGCAUUAUAAUGAAAAUGCGGACUGACCACAGGCCGAAACGGAGGAUGGUGUACCUCAAAAUCUCAUUUCCAAAGGCUAGGAAGGGAGAGUGUAGAGUUAAACCUCAGAAGACAGCCGACCUCUGGUUAUGUUGACAUGACCGACCUAAUUUGAGAAAGUCUUUGUCAACCCUACGCCAUACACCGAUGCGCUGUUGGCCAUCCCUGUCCCAGAGGACCUAUCAGCGUAGUACGACAAGGAGGAGGUCAUUGCCAGCUUUGUGUCAAGGUUCAAACGGGGGGGCAGUUUAAACCCUACAUAGUGGCCUUCCUCAUCAGGAAACUCUGAGCGGAUGCGCAGGACCACAAAAGCUGGAAUAAUGACCCGGAUUCUGUGUCCCAGUGUUACGUGUUUGUCCCUUCUAGUUUCCUUUUUGCCCUUAUUUGGUUUUGUUCCAGUCUUUGUCAUUAGUUAAUCAUCGUUUAUUAUCCCCACCUGAUUUGCAUUUUAUUAUCUUGUUUGCUGCUUUGGUCCUUUUUCCUUUAAGUCCUCAGUUUUCUUUAGUCCUUUUCUGAGCUAAAUGUUGUAUAAAGGAAUAUGUGUUGAAGCUUAUUAAAAGAUGUCAGUUUCAUGACUCCUUCGUCAAGCCCUUUUAUCUACAACCACAACCGGUA